CCACUUCUCAAACUUCUCCAUUGGAAUAGUGUUAAGUUCCUUACUCCAUAAUGUUUUCUCAAGUUUAUGUCGAGUUGUCCUAUAUACUAGAAGAAUUGCCCGCAUGUAAUUCACGAAUCAUGUCUCGUAAAGAUGAAUCAGAAGAAAAGUUUAAGUUGUUUCCGAAUUUGACAACAGCAAGGAUUUUCGAUUAUAAUGUUCCAAUUUACUGUGCUCUAUGAGGUUCAGAGUCUGCAUCUUGAAUUGGUAAAUAAGAAAUUGAAUUGUGUUCAAGAUAUAUGAAAAUGAACUUCUUAAUUAAGUUGUUUAUACAAAUAUAUGCAAAAUCUGGAAUGGAUUCGUUGCAAGCAUCUUCCCUUGUUUCAUCGACUCACCAACAUUGACAUUUUCUUCACCAAUGUAUCGUUGGAGGAGGCAUUGAAGUGGUUGCUACAGUUGCUCGUUCAUUGCCCCAUACUCCAAAAUUUUAAAAUUCAGUAUUGUGUGGACCAUCAGAAUGAGUUGGUUGGCGACUAUUGGAUUGAUCCACCAACUGUUCCAGUGUCUUUCAUCGCAGCUCAAAACUUUCUUCCUUAGAGGCUACAAAGGUAAUGAAAAUGAGUUCCAAUUUGUCUGAUAUAUUAUGCAGAACUCAAAGGUACUACAGACAAUGACAAUUAAGAGCAACCCUGUUGUAGAUAUCAAUAGAAAACACCAAAUUUCAAUGAAAUUAUCUUCAACUACAAUGGGCUCUACUCUACAACAUUUAUUUUCGACAUGAACUUGCUAACCAAAAUGCUGAAACCACCAAUUUGACAAAAAAACUCGAUUGAGUAAGGAAAUCCAUGCAAUGAGAGUCAAAUUAGAAGCUGCAAAAUAUGAUGUGAUCAAAUACUACACAGGCACCCUUGUCUUUAUAUCAACAAUGGGUCUGUCGAUAAUCCAGGUCAUAUUAUAGUUUUCCAUGAAAUCAAAGGACUUGCAAUUCCAUACAUAACAUUUUCGGGUGAGUUCCACAGAAUUACCCUCAACUUCAUGGUGGCAAGUGGCAAAGAACUGAUAUGAAGAAGGUGUUGUGCCCUCAGAACCAUUCUUUGUGCCUCAGGCCAAGAGCAACAGAAGAAAAUAUGGGACCUCUCUUAUAACAAUAUAAGUGGCUUCUUCUCGAUAAUUAUCAUAGUUUAAGUCUCUGAGAGACCUUUACUAAUUUUAACUUAUGUCAUAUUAUAUUGGUAUAUGAGUUUGUAGGACUAAUAGAACUCAAUUUUGCUAGUACCCAUGGAGUGAACAUGUCAUGGUUGUAAAGUAAUUUUUUAGACCUUGUUGUGAUAUUUGUAAACAAGUGGAUUUGAUUUAAAAUAUUUGGUAUUGAUGGAUCAUAAUAUGUAUGA